ACAUAUAUUUACCCUCUAAUAUAAUACUUUUAGUGUCGUCUCUUGAGUUAUAUGAGUUAAAUAAUAUACUUUUAGCAUAUUUCGGUUUAAUCAAUUGAUAAUUAUUUUUAGUGUUUAAAAGAUGAAUUUGUGUCUAUAUUAAUUAUUUAGUGAUAACCUAUGUGAAUAGAAUUCGGAAAGAUGCACUAAAUUCGAGUAUUACUAAUUAUGCAGGGCUGAUAUAAUAUUUUGGUCAUAUCUCACUCAUACGGUAUCAAAACGAGACGAUUUAAGUGGCUACGGAAAGCUGAGAUCGAGACCUACAACUUUUAAGAAGAAAGCAAGAGCUAAUUCAGCUGUUUACUUGGUCGAAAUUAUGUUGCACACAAGCAGUCCAUAUUGAUGCAAUUGUAUUGAGUUAAAUAUUAAUGGCCCACAUAUAUCACUUGUACUAAUUAGCUUCCAGUCCCAACAUGUACACACCACCAGCAAAUCAAGAAAGACAAAAAGCCCAAUUAUUCAUGACAAAAGAAGAGAGGAGUCAAAGGAGGAAAAGGGGUUCAUAUGACCCUAAGUUUAACGCACGCAAACAGGAGAAAAAGAGAGAAGUGGGCUUUUGAUUAAAAAACCCACAAAACUGACCCUAAGCCUACGGAGGUCAGAAGAAUAAGAGGAGCCGCAGUACGGACUACGGAGGAAAAAAAGAGGAGGGAGAUGAAUACGGAAGAAAAUGAAGGAAGGCAGUAGAGCACACGCCACACACCAAUAGGAAGACGAGAUUUCAGUCUAGAAAUUCGUCCCUAAUGAGUUUUCUCUACUCUCUUCUAUCUAUUUUAUUUGUUUUCAUGUCUAAUUUAGAGUAGUUUUACACUAGUAGGAACAUGUAAUUGAAUCUUGUUAUGGGUUUAUGAGAUUAUGAUUUAUGUUUGUUCAAUUAAUUAGUUUGAUUGGGUUUUCACAUGAAAUUCGUUAUUUGAGUUUAUAAUUUAUGAAUGUUAAUUUUAGAUUGAUCACCUAAGGUUUUAUUCAUGGUUAUUUGCUUGGAUUAACAGUAAUAUUAUUAGGUUGAAGCUUUCUUAUCUGAUGUUAUUGUUGAAGUUUUAUGUGAUAUUAAUUUUAAUAUAGUUGCAGCUUUCUGGCUUAAUUAAAGUUAACUGAUUGGUGUUCUUAAAGUGGUCAAGUUUGUUAAUUUAAUAUAUGCUUUCAUUGUUAAAUUGAUAUAUUUGAUUAGGACUGAACUUGCUUGCGUUCACGGGGUUAGUUAGUAUGAAUUAUAAAGCAACUAAUUUUCUUGCGUUCAAGGAUUAUUUGUUAACCAAUCUAUCUAUCAACUAGUUAAAUGAUUCAAUGAUUAAACCCUGUCUCAAGAGAAAAUUACAUGUCUCCUAUUAGCUUCUUUAUUAUAUUUUAAAACCGAAUUUAUUUCUUGCAUUUUAUAUUUUUAAUUUUAGUUUAAUAGUUUAAGUAUAGUUCUGAUAUUUGAAACCCCCCAAUUUAUGAAAUAGUAGUUAUAUAUAUAAUUAGAUAAUUAGUUUAAGAUAAUAACGCAGUCUCUGUGGGUUCGACCCUUACUUUCCCUAUCUAUUUGUUAGAGUUAGUGAGUGAUUUAUAAAUUUAAUUUUGUUGCGAAAACGACACGCAUCAAAUUUUGGCGCCGUUGCCGGGGACUGUAUAAUCUAUUAUCUUAGACUAUUGUUUUAGUAUUAUUAUUUAUCUAGUUAUUUGUUUAUUUCUAGGUUCUUGUUACUUGAUCGUAUAUUUACAUUUAUAUUUUUUGUGUGAUUAUUGGCUAGUGAAAUAGCAGGAGAAGGUGAAAAGAGCUUGAAAGAACUUAUGUUCAAUGCAUAUGAGGCACCCAUGAGUGUUAUUUUUCCCGCCUUAGAGAAAUCAUUCAAACUUGAUCUAGGUUUUAUCGGAAUUAAACCUAAAUUCUAUGGUCAUGAUAAGGAAGAUGCUCAUAGACAUUUACAAGAAUUUUCUCUUGCUUGCUCUACUUUGUCGCUAAAUGGAAGGCUUUUACUACAUUGUGUUUGGAGUGCACGAGAGAUAGCUUUAGCUACUGUUGCUUAUGGGGCAGCGGGUGUUUGAUUGCGGCAUGCAAUGCACAAUUGUCGAGCGAACGACAAGAAACAAAGGCGCUGCUUGGGGGGCAACCUAAGAAUUUAUUGUUUUCUAUUUUAUUUUAUUUUUCUUUAGUACAAUAAACCACUCUAAGUACUCUAUGUAUUGUUGAUCUAGGAUGUUCUGCCUUCUACCAUCUGCCUUUUGCUCAUGUUGCUGAAUCUAUUAGUUACUACACAUUGCUGCUGCAAAUCGUUGUUCAUCUCCUUCUUCGUUCAAUUGCAAUUUUCAAGACACCAAUUACUAUAUGGAGAAUAUUUCUCCAAUCUACAUACACCAGGUUGCCUCUUUCCUUGUUUCACCUGUUCUGAUUUUCUCUUCUUCUCCCUAUUUCUAUUUUUAGUUUGAUUUUAUAACAUUGAGGACAAUGUUGAUUUUAAGUGUAGGGGAAUUUUGGAUGAUAAAGUUGUGCUGGAUUGAUAUUUGCUGGAUUACAGGUGUUGUGAUUGAAAAAAAAAUUAUGGAUUGUUACAUUUUAGGGGAGGUGCUGCCGAAAUUUUAUUGAGCUUGAUUAUAUAUUUGCAUCUGCAUAGUAGUUUUAUUUACGUGCAUUCAUAAAAAUAAAAUAAAACAAAAAAAAUAUAUAAUGUGCUUUUGAUUUGCAUUAGUUUCGGAUUGGUCUGCAUUAUUUAGGAUUUCACCUCUUAGUUUCCUAAGGAAUUUCUACUAGUAAGUUUGAUAAGAAACUCUAAUCUAACUUGUUUUUGAAACUUAUAUGUUUUCGAAAUAAAAGAUUUUGGUAAUGUCUGUAUAAUUGGAAAAGAAUGGUUGAACUUGAGAGAUUCAUAAUAUAAUUGGAAAAAAAAAACUAUCUUGUUUCUCUUAGAUAAGUUGGCUAGAUAGAUAGAUCAAAGCCUGUGAGUUUCUGAGCCUAUUAGACUGACACAUCUUAAUCAAUCUUUACUUUUUUUUUUUUUCUUGUGUGAUAGUUCCUCAAUGAAGUGUGGCUCUUAAACUUGACUUGGUACUCUUUGAGACGUUUGUGACAAAUGCUAUGAAGAAAUGAUUUAGGCGUUCUUUUCAUUUUUUUUAGCCUCAGAUAUUUUAUUUCAUAUACUAUUUCCCUUUCUUUUGCCCUUUUGAGCCUUAAAAAUCCGUGUUUAUUUGCUAACCAUACAUUACAAACCUACGGCCUCCUACAUAUUAUACCGAAGCCUGGCUAAGGGGAGUUAUUAAGUUGAGUUUGUAGUAUAAGUUUUUGUUAUAAAAAAAAAUAUUGUGAAAAGAAAAGGGAAGAAAAACAAAACAGGAAUUGUGACAUUGAAAAAAAAAAACAAAUUAUUUGAGAAGAAAAACAGAAAAAAGAAG